UGAGGAAAUGAAGGUAGUCAAAUCAUAUAGUGAACGUUUUUUUUUUUGUACACAGAAUGAACAAAUGAUUAAAAAACUCUCAUUGGUUGAGUUUAAAAACAAAGGAAGUUGACAAUUUUAAUCAUAUCUCAUUUUUAAAACGCACCUUAUAUAAAAUCAGAUCAAUAGCAAAAAUAAUCAAUUUCAGCCAAAUCUUUAAUUUUAUAAACUAAGAGAAAACAAAAUAAAACUUUUUAUAUUACUCGAAUCCAAUAUUAAAAAAACUGCCGAAAUACCGGCCAGACCUCAUUAUGAACCUGCAAACUGUAAUUAAGACUUAAUCAUAAUUCUGACCUAUAAAAGAAAUAAUAUAUACAUAUAUGAAUAUAGAAAUAUAUAUAUGAAACUUUUGUUCUGC